rnacentral:misc_RNA from 1 species
CCGAGUUUACAACUCCCAAACCCUGUGAACUACCACUUGUGCUCGGCGGAUCAGCCCGCUCCCGGUAAAACGGGACGGCCCGCCAGAGGACCCUAAACUCUGUUUCUAUAUGUAACUUCUGAGUAAAACCAUAAAUAAAUCA